GACGCUGAGGCACGAAAGCGCGGGUAGCAAAGAGGAUAUAGAUACCCUGGUAGUCCACGCCGUAAACGAUGAGUACUAAGUGUCGGGAUAAAACUCGGUACUGAAGUUAACACAUUAAGUACUCCGCCUGAGUAGUACGUACGCAAGUAUGAAACUUAAAGGAAUUGACGGGACUCCGCACAAGCGGUGGAUCAUGUUGUUUAAUUCGAAGAUACACGAAAAAUCUUACCAGGUCUUGACAUGCUCUGCUAAGCUAUAGAAAUAUAGUGGAGGUUAUCAGGGACACAGGUGGUGCAUGGUUGUCGUCAGUUCGGGUCGUGAGAUGUUAGGUUAAGUCCUAAAAGUAGCGCAACCGUUGUCGUUAGUUACCAGCACGAAAUGGUGGGCACUUUAACGAGACUGCCAAUUAAACAUUGAAGGAAGGUGAGGAUUACGUCAAAUCAUCAUGCCCCUUAUGAUCUGGGCUACAUACGAGAUACAAUGUCUGUCACAAAGGAAGGCUUAAGGAGUUUUUAGCCAAUCUCAAAAAAGCAGUCUCAGUUCGGAUUGAA
rnacentral:rRNA from 1 species